rnacentral:tRNA from 1 species
GCAGAAAUGGUGGAAAUGGUAGACACGGCAGUCUUAGAAACUGUUGGAUUUAUCCGUGCGAGUUCAAGUCUCGCUUUCUGUACCA